rnacentral:rRNA from 1 species
GAUGAACGCUGGCGGCGUGCCUAAUACAUGCAAGUCGAGCGAACGGACGAGAAGCUUGCUUCUCUGAUGUUAGCGGCGGACGGGUGAGUAACACGUGGAUAACCUACCUAUAAGACUGGGAUAACUUCGGGAAACCGGAGCUAAUACCGGAUGAUAUUUUGAACCGCAUGGUUCAAAAGUGAAAGACGGUCUUGCUGUCACUUAUAGAUGGAUCCGCGCUGCAUUAGCUAGUUGGUAAGGUAACGGCUUACCAAGGCAACGAUGCAUAGCCGACCUGAGAGGGAGAUCGGCCACACUGUAUCUGAGACACGGUCCAGACUCCUACGGGAGGCAGCAGUAGGGAAUCUUCCGCAAUGGGCGAAAGCCGGACGGAGCAACGCCGCGUGAGUGAUGAAGGUCUUCGGAUCGUAAAACUCUGUUAUUAGGGAAGAACAUAUGUGUAAGUACCUGGGAACAUCUUGACGGUACCGAAUCAGAAAGCCACGGCUAACUACGUG